rnacentral:rRNA from 1 species
UACAGAGGCCCCAAGCGUUACUGAGAAUCACUGGGUUUAAAGGGUGCGUAGGCGGCUUUGUAAGUCAGUGGUGAAAUAUGGCAGCUCAACUGUCAGGGUGCCAUUGAUACUGCGGAGCUUGAGUACAGAUGAGGUAGGCGGAAUUGACGGUGUAGCGGUGAAAUGCUUAGAUAUCGUCAAGAACACCGAUAGCGAAGGCAGCUUACUAGGCUGUAACUGACGCUGAGGCACGAAAGUGUGGGGAUCAAACAGG